UCUGGUGACAAUAGCAAAGAGGUCACACCUGUUCCCAUGCCGAACACAGAAGUUAAGCUCUUUAGCGCCGAUGGUAGUCGGACUAACGUUCCACUAGAGUAGGACGUUGCCAGGC
rnacentral:rRNA from 1 species